rnacentral:rRNA from 1 species
AACGAACGCUGGCGGCGUGGAUAAGACAUGCAAGUCGAACGGAGUACAGAUAGCUUGCUAACUGUACUUAGUGGCGCACGGGUGAGUAACGCGUGAGUAACCUGCCGAUAAGUUGGGGAUAGCCCUGGGGAACCGGGAUUAAUACCGAAUGUGGUUGAAAAACUAAAGCCUUCGGGUGCUUAUUGAGGGGCUCGCGUCCUAUUAGUUAGUUGGUGAGGUAACGGCUCACCAAGGCGAUGACGGGUAGCCGGUCUGAGAGGAUGUCCGGCCACACUGGAACUGAGACACGGUCCAGACACCUACGGGUGGCAGCAGUCGAGAAUCAUUCACAAUGGGGGCAACCCUGAUGGUGCGACGCCGCGUGGGGGAAGAAGGUCUUCGGAUUGUAAACCCCUGUCAUGUGGGAGCAAGCUAGAGAUAGUUGAUAGUACCACAAGAGGAAGAGACGGCUAACUCUGUGCCAGCCGCCGCGGAAAAAC